AUGUUUCUUCAAACUUCCGUUCCAAACGAAAAUAUUGGGCCCGUUGAAUUUGUAAAGUUCUUAAAGCAGCAUGAUUAUUUCCGAUGCAAGUAUUGCAUACAGAGUUCCGUUGACCAUCCCUAUAACUGUUGCAUCAACAGAACAAAGCUUUUCAAAAUCGAAGCUAUUGAGGUCUUAUAUGUGCACUACCAUGACACAACAAAGACUUACUGA
rnacentral:rRNA from 1 species